rnacentral:rRNA from 1 species
AGUGAACGCUGGCGGUAGGCCUAACACAUGCAAGUCGAACGGCAGCACAGUAAGAGCCUGCUCUUACGGGUGGCGAGUGGCGGACGGGUGAGGAAUACAUCGGAAUCUACUUUUUCGUGGGGGAUAACGUAGGGAAACUUACGCUAAUACCGCAUACGACCUACGGGUGAAAGCAGGGGAUCUUCGGACCUUGCGCGAUUGAAUGAGCCGAUGUCGGAUUAGCUAGUUGGCGGGGUAAAGGCCUACCAAGGCGACGAUCCGUAGCUGGUCUGAGAGGAUGAUCAGCCACACUGGAACUGAGACACGGUCCAGACUCCUACGGGAGGCAGCAGUGGGGAAUAUUGGACAAUGGGCGCAAGCCUGAUCCAGCCAUACCGCGUGGGUGAAGAAGGCCUUCGGGUUGUAAAGCCCUUUUGUUGGGAAAGAAAAGCAGCAGGUUAAUACCCCGCUGUUCUGACGGUACCCAAAGAAUAAGCACCGGCUAACUUCGUG